UACACUCCUACGGGAGGCAGCAGUGGGGAAUAUUGGACAAUGGGCGCAAGCCUGAUCCAGCCAUGCCGCGUGAGUGAUGAAGGCCCUAGGGUUGUAAAGCUCUUUCACCGGAGAAGAUAAUGACGGUAUCCGGAGAAGAAGCCCCGGCUAACUCCGUGCCAGCAGCCGCGGUAAUACGAAGGGGGCUAGCGUUGUUCGGAAUUACUGGGCGUAAAGCGCACGUAGGCGGAUCGAUCAGUCAGGGGUGAAAUCCCAGGGCUCAACCCUGGAACUGCCUUUGAUACUGUCGAUCUGGAGUAUGGAAGAGGUGAGUGGAAUUCCGAGUGUAGAGGUGAAAUUCGGAGAUAUUCGGAGGAACACCAGUGGCGAAGGCGGCUCACUGGUCCAUUACUGACGCUGAGGUGCGAAAGCGUGGGGAGCAAACAGGAUUAGAAACCCCUGUAGUCC
rnacentral:rRNA from 1 species